rnacentral:rRNA from 1 species
UACGUAGGGUGCAAGCGUUGUCCGGAAUUAUUGGGCGUAAAGAGCUCGUAGGCGGUCUGUUGCGUCCGCUGUGAAAACUCGGGGCUUAACCCCGAGCCUGCAGUGGAUACGGGCAGACUAGAGGUAGGUAGGGGAGAAUGGAAUUCCCGGUGUAGCGGUGAAAUGCGCAGAUAUCAGGAGGAACACCGGUGGCGAAGGCGGGUCUCUGGGCCGAUACUGACGCUGAGGAGCGAAAGCAUGGGUAGCGAACAGG